rnacentral:rRNA from 1 species
CCCUUAGAUGUUCUGGGCUGCACGCGUGCUACACUGAUAUUGCCAAUAUGUCAUUCUUAUCCGAAAUGGAUUGGGUAAUCAAGUAAUGAAAUUUCAUGCUUGGAAUCGGUAAUUGCAAUUUUAUCGUGAACGAGGAAUUCCUAGUAAGCACUAGUCAUCAGCUAAUGUUGAUUAUGUCCCUGCCCUUUGUACACACCGCCCGUCGCUACUACCGAUUGAGUGAUCCGGUGAAUUAUUCGGACUGCAACGCAACCAGUUCCUGGAUGCAGUUGCGGAAAGUUUUGUGAACCUUACCACUUAGAGGAAGGAGAAGUCGUAACA